rnacentral:lncRNA from 1 species
GUCAAUCUUUUCUCAUUCUUUGGAAAUGAUCUUAAUUCUUAUAUAUGCUUCUAUUUUUACGGGCAUUUUAUUGCUUUGUAUUCUGCAUGAAUAACAUACCAUUUUAAUUAUCAUAAUUUUACUAGACAUUUUUAUUAUCUUAUAUGAAGAGUACCCUUUAUUAUACCUAAUUUUAUAAAAAUAUGAAUAUGUCUACGCCAGUUGAGCUUUUGAGUAAUGUGGCCAAUAUUUGCCUGCCAAAUAAAACUCCUAUUAAUAUGUUGAUUAUAUUGUUGUAUAUAUGAAUUUGAAGACCAUUGAUAUCUUAAGCAGAGAUGAGUUCCAUUCCAGGAACAUGCUACAUCUUUCUAUUUAUACAAGUGUUUAUAAUGCCCCCAGUAUAGUUUUUCAGGUUUUUUUUUUUUUUUUUUUUCAUGUGGUCCACAUCUUUCUUAAAUUGAUUCCUAGCUGGGCCUGAUGGUGCAUGCCUGUAAUCCCAGUGAUUUGGGAGGCUGAGGCAAGAGGAUCUCAAGUUUGAGGCCAUCCUCAGCAACUUAGUGAGACCUUAUCUUAAAAUAAAGAAUAAAAAGGGCUGGAGAUGUGGCUCAUUGGUAGAGUGCCCUUAGGUUCAAUCUCCAGUGUCAAAAAAAUUCGAUACCUUGUUUUAUAUUUCUUCUUUUUAAAUGUUUUAAUUAUUUAUACAUGACAGUAGACCUGUUUUAUAUAUCUUAAUGCUAUAACAAGCUACCUCCUCACCCCUCAGUAUUGUUUGUAUCUUUUAGUAGGCAACUGGCUUUAUUUUUGAAAAAUUAAAAAAAAAAAAAAAAAAAUCAUUUCAAUUUCUAUCAUUUCCACCAGAUGGCAGUCUUGGGCAUGUCAAUUGGUAAACCUGCUGAGAACUCUGGUGACAAGGCAGUGAGUGACUGGCCAACCUACCAAGAGCCCAGAAGUUCAAGGAAAAAAAAGUUCUUUUUUGUUUGUUUUUGUAAACCUGAAAGAAAAAUGAGCUCAACAGCACAUAGUUAUAAUAUUUAUACUUGUAUUAAACUAUUAAUCUUUUAACUAUUUAUUGGAGGCAAAGAGCUAUCACCAUGCCCUUCAAAUUCAUGUUUUCCCUGUUCAUACAAUAAACACCUGUGGCUUCUUGGUAGUACUUGUGGUUUUAUUUCAGGAUUCUUCGUGAGUAAAAGCCAGCUUUAAUCUUUCAUUAUUGUUUCAGUUAUCCUAAAAGUACCACUUAGAUCAGCAGUUUCUGGAUUUCUGAAUUUAUGUCUAAGAGCAUCUCAUGACUGUUUUUUACCAUUCCUACAUAUCUUCUGAAAUUAGUUAGUGUUUAUACUUCAUGUGAAAGGAAGUAUGGUUAUAACCUGCCUGUUCUACAGGAACAUGAACCUAACAGCCCCCUAUAAUGAAGCCCUUUUUGGCUUAAUUUAGGUGAUUUCCAAGACCUACAUUGAGGAACAUAGAAAAUAGUUAAUCACUUGUUCAGGCCAUGCUUUGUCUCAAGUAUUUUCUAAUAGAUACCCUUCCAAGUGGCAAAAAAAAAUAGUACUUUGGGACACAGUACAUUGCCUAGGCAACCUCUCCUCUUGUACCACUUAUUAUGAUUCCAUUUGUUAGUCAACGUGCUUUUAUAAUCAGG